rnacentral:rRNA from 1 species
CUCAGGAGUAGACGCUAGCGGCAGGCGUUAACACAUGCAGUCGAGGGGCGAUCGGAGGGAAGCUUGCUUCCUUCGCGGCGACCGGCGCACGGGUGAGUUAACACGUAUGCAACCUGCCCUCUUCAGGGGGACAACCUUCCGAAGGGAGGCUAAUCCCGCGUAUAUCGGUUUCGGGCAUCCGAGAUCGAGGAAAGAUUCAUCGGAAGAGGAUGGGCAUGCGGCGCAUUAGCUUGACGGCGGGGUAACGGCCCACCGUGGCGACGAUGCGUAGGGGUUCUGAGAGGAAGGUCCCCCACACUGGUACUGAGACACGGACCAGACUCUACGGGAGGCAGCAGUGAGGAAUAUUGGUCAAUGGGAGAGAUCCUGAACCAGCCAAGCCGCGUGAGGGAAGACGGCCCUAUGGGUUGUAAACCUCUUUUGUCGGAGAACAAAACCCGGGACGUGUCCCGGACUGCGUGUAUCCGAAGAAAAAGCAUCGGCUAACUCCGUG